rnacentral:sRNA from 1 species
CGGUCUCAAUUUGUGUUGGACUGAUAUAAUGGAUAUGUGUAUCAAUGCCGGCAGGUGUAACGAUAUAUCCAGCUCCACCAUGAACCUCUGUGGAGGCUCCAAUAAUCAUGUUCGGUGUGAUGUUAUCCAUGGUGUCUGGGUUCCCGGCCCGACCAAUACCGACAAUCUUGCCGUCUUUGAUCCCAAUAUCUCCUUUUACAAUACCCCAGUGAUCCAGAAUAAUUGCCCCUGUUAUUACCAUGUCAAGGGUGCCUUCUUCGCGCAGGUGUUUGGAUGAUUGACACAUCCCGUCGCGGAUUG